rfam:Ictidomys tridecemlineatus contig031087, whole genome shotgun sequence.
GGGGAUGAGGCUCAGGGAGAGAGCGCUUGCCUGGCAGGCACGAGGCCCUGGGUUCCCGCCCCAACGCCCCCU